rnacentral:snoRNA from 1 species
AUUCCAUGAUGAGGGCACUCCAAUAAUAAUUCUUUAUACCUUUCCCAUGCCUUAUACAAUGACUCAUCAUCCAUUUGUUGGAAAGUAGUGAUCUCGUUCCUCAACUU